rnacentral:rRNA from 1 species
UGAGUAACACGUGGGGAACCUGCCCCAUAGUCUGGGAUACCACUUGGAAACAGGUGCUAAUACCGGAUAAGAAAGCGGAUCGCAUGAUCAGCUUUUAAAAGGCGGCGUAAGCUGUCGCUAUGGGAUGGCCCCGCGGUGCAUUAGCUAGUUGGUAAGGUAACGGCUUACCAAGGCAACGAUGCGUAGCCGACCUGAGAGGGUGAUCGGCCACACUGGAACUGAGACACGGUCCAGACUCCUACGGGAGGCAGCAGAC